UGCCUUUGUGUUGCCCAUUCAUGGCUCCUUAUGAAUGGAGUCUCAAAAAAGGCAGACAGUGUCAUUUUGCUGUUUUUCUUGAGCUUUGGGAAUAUACACCCUCUACGUUAUUCAUGGCAGAAGAAACAUGU